rnacentral:rRNA from 1 species
GGAUUAGAUACCCUGGUAGUCCACGCCGUAAACGAUGCUCACUCGAUGUUGGCGAUAUACAGUCAGCGUCCAAGCGAAAGCGAUAAGUGAGCCACCUGGGGAGUACGCUCGCAAGAGUGAAACUCAAAGGAAUUGACGGGGCCCCGCACAAGCGGUGGAGCAUGUCGUUUAAUUCGAUGCAACGCGAAAAACCUUACCAUCUCUUGACAUCCUGCGAACUUGGUAGAGAUACCUUGGUGCCUUCGGGAGCGCAGUGACAGGUGCUGCAUGGCUGUCGUCAGC